rnacentral:rRNA from 1 species
GGCGGCGUGCUUAACACAUGCAAGUCGAACGCUGAAGCAUCUUCGGGUGUGGAUGAGUGGCGAACGGGUGAGUAACACGUGGGUAAUCUGCCCUGUACUUUGGGAUAAGCCUGGGAAACUGGGUCUAAUACCGGAUACGACUACCUUGGGCAUCCAGGGUGGUGGAAAGUUUCGGCGGUACGGGAUGAGCCCGCGGCCUAUCAGCUUGUUGGUGGGGUGAUGGCCUACCAAGGCGACAACGGGUAGCCGGCCUGAGAGGGUGACCGGCCACACUGGGACUGAGACACGGCCCAGACUCCUACGGGAGGCAGCAGUGGGGAAUAUUGCACAAUGGGCGAAAGCCUGAUGCAGCGACGCCGCGUGAGGGAUGACGGCCUUCGGGUUGUAAACCUCUUUCGCCAGGGACGAAGCGCAAGUGACGGUACCUGGAUAAGAAGCACCGGCUAACUACGUGCCAGCAGCCGCGGUAAUACGUAGGGUGCGAGCGUUGUCCGGAAUUAUUGGGCGUAAAGAGCUCGUAGGCGGUUUGUCGCGUCGGCCGUGAAAUCUGGAGGCUUAACCUUCACCGUGCGGUCGAUACGGGCAGACUUGAGUUCGGUAGGGGAGACUGGAAUUCCUGGUGUAGCGGUGAAAUGCGCAGAUAUCAGGAGGAACACCGGUGGCGAAGGCGGGUCUCUGGGCCGAUACUGACGCUGAGGAGCGAAAGCGGGGGGAGCGAACAGGAUUAGAUACCCUGGUAGUCCACGCUGUAAACGUUGGGCGCUAGGUGUGGGCGACAUCCACGUUGUCCGUGCCGUAGCUAACGCAUUAAGCGCCCCGCCUGGGGAGUACGGCCGC